rnacentral:rRNA from 1 species
GGCUAACUUCGUGCCAGCAGCCGCGGUAAUACGAAGGGACCUAGCGUAGUUCGGAAUUACUGGGCUUAAAGAGCACGUAGGUGGUUAAGAAAGUUGGUGGUGAAAUCCCAAGGCUUAACCUUGGAACUGCCACCAAAACUUUUUAACUAGAGUAUGAUUGAGGUAAGCGGAAUUUCUAGUGUAGAGGUGAAAUUCGUAGAUAUUAGAAAGAACACCAAUUGCGAAGGCAGCUUUCUGGAUCAUUACUGACACUGAGGUGCGAAAGCAUGGGUAGCGAAGAGGAUUAGAUACCCUCGUAGUCCAUGCCGUAAACGAUGUGUGCUAGACGUUGGGAAUUUAUUUUUCAGUGUCGCAGCAAAAGCGUUAAGCACACCGCCUGGGGAGUACGACCGCAAGGUUAAAACUCAAAUGAAUUGACGGGGACCCGCACAAGUAGUGGAGCAUGUGGUUUAAUUCGAAGAUACGCGCAGAACCUUACCAACACUUGACAUGUUCGUCGCGACUCUAAGAGAUUAGAGUUUUCGGUUCGGCCGGACGAAACACAGGUGCUGCAUGGCUGUCGUCAGCUCGUGUCGUGAGAUGUUGGGUUAAGUCCCGCAACGAGCGCAACCCUUACUUUUAGUUGCUACCAUUCAGUUGGGCACUCUAAAAGAACUGCCAGUGAUAAGCUGGAGGAAGGUGGGGAUGACGUCAAGUCCUCAUGGCCCUUAUGUGUUGGGCUACACACGUGCUACAAUGGUAUUUACAGUGGGAUGCAAAGAGGCAACUCCUAGCCAACCCUUAAAAAAUACCUCAGUUCGGAUUGUACUCUGCAACUCGAGUACAUGAAGCUGGAAUUACUAGUAAUCGCGGAUCAGCUCGCCGCGGUGAAUACGUUCCCGGGUCUUGUACACACCGCCCGUCACACCAUGGAAGUUGGUUACACCUUAAGGCAAAGUGUAAAAC